rnacentral:rRNA from 1 species
UACGUAGGGGGCAAGCGUUGUCCGGAUUUAUUGGGCGUAAAGAGCGUGUAGGCGGCCUGAAAGGUCAGCUGUGAAAACUCGAGGCUCAACCUCGAGACGUCGGUUGAAACCAUCUGGCUAGAGUCCGGAAGAGGAGUGUGGAAUUCCCGGUGUAGCGGUGAAAUGCGCAGAUAUCGGGAAGAACACCCGUGGCGAAGGCGGCACUCUGGGACGGUACUGACGCUGAGACGGCGAAAAGCGUGGGGAGCGAACAGG